UACGGGGGGGGCAAGCGUUGUUCGGAAUUACUGGGCGUAAAGGGCGCGUAGGCGGUUCGCUAAGUCGGAUGUGAAAACUCUGGGCUCAACCCAGAGCCUGCAUCCGAAACUGGCGGGCUAGAGUUCUGGAGGGGGUAGCGGAAUUCCUGGUGUAGCGGUGAAAUGCGUAGAUAUCAGGAGGAACACCGAUUGCGAAGGCAGCUCGCUGGGACGUCACUGACGCUGAGACGCGAAAGCGUGGGGAGCAAACAGG
rnacentral:rRNA from 1 species